AGUGAACGCUGGCGGUAGGCCUAACACAUGCAAGUCGAACGGCAGCACAGUAAGAGCUUGCUCUUACGGGUGGCGAGUGGCGGACGGGUGAGGAAUACAUCGGAAUCUACUUUUUCGUGGGGGAUAACGUAGGGAAACUUACGCUAAUACCGCAUACGACCUACGGGUGAAAGCAGGGGAUCUUCGGACCUUGCGCGAUUGAAUGAGCCGAUGUCGGAUCAGCUAGUUGGCGGGGUAAAGGCCCACCAAGGCGACGAUCCGUAGCUGGUCUGAGAGGAUGAUCAGCCACACUGGAACUGAGACACGGUCCAGACUCCUACGGGAGGCAGCAGUGGGGAAUAUUGGACAAUGGGCGCAAGCCUGAUCCAGCCAUACCGCGUGGGUGAAGAAGGCCUUCGGGUUGUAAAGCCCUUUUGUUGGGAAAAAAAAGCAGCAGGUUAAUACCCCGCUGUUCUGACGGUACCCAAAGAAUAAGCACCGGCUAACUUCGUG
rnacentral:rRNA from 1 species